rnacentral:rRNA from 1 species
GUCAAAUACAUCAUGCCCCUUACUGACCUGGGCGUACACACGUGCUACAAUGGUUGGUACAACGAGUUGCGAGUCGGUGACGGCGAGCUAAUCUCUUAAAGCCAAUCUCAGUUCGGAUUGUAGGCUGCAACUCGCCUACAUGAAGUCGGAAUCGCUAGUAAUCGCGGAUCAGCACGCCGCGGUGAAUACGUUCCCGGGCCUU